GCUUGUCUCAAAGAUUAAGCCAUGCAUGUCUUAGUGUAAAUAACUCUUAUGAAACUGCGAAUGGCUCAUUAAAUCAGUUAUCGUUUAUUUGAUGGUCCCUUACUACAUGGAUAACCGUAGUAAUUCUAGAGCUAAUACAUGCACAAAAUCCCGACUUACGAAGGGAUGUAUUUAUUAGAUACAAACCAACAUCGUGGUGAUUCAUAAUAACUUUGCGAAUCGUAUGCCUCACGGCGACGAUGAAUCAUUCAAAUUUCUGCCCUAUCAACUUUCAACCGUAAGGUAGUGGCCUACGGUGGUGGUAACGGGUGACGGAGGAUUAGGGUUCGAUUCCGGAGAGGGAGCCUGAGAAACGGCUACCACAUCCAAGGAAGGCAGCAGG
rnacentral:rRNA from 1 species